AAUUUGCUGCUGCGAUCAACUCAGAAUUAGGCCCCAGGUUCCUUUGUCUCUGUUGUGUCAUUCUGUUUGGGGUUGUUGUAUAGUGACUGUGGUCAGAAACAGAAUUCUGUUCUUUUCUAAGGAUGGUGUCUUAUUAUCACUUGUGUAUUCCAUUCCACUAUCUGCACGUAGUCUGGGGCUGAUGCAGGACAAGAGAUGAAAUAGAAUGCUGGACAUCUGCUGUGAUCCUGUGACACUUUGCACAAGCAGAGCUCAUAUGUGAUCUAUGUGGAAAUGCAGGGAGCAUAUACGGAUACAGUAAAUAACCGCAUUCUCAAUCAGAGAGGUCAUAUAACCAGCACGUUCUCUGGAAAUGAAUGCAAUCCGCUGACUUUACUGAAGGUUGGGAAUCUGACAGAUGGAGGUAACAGCUAUCGUCUUACUCAGUCUGCAGCAAGAUGCUGCAAACGUGGGAUCCAGAUGUGGCCCCCAAACUCUGAUUUGUUUACAUUCUUUGCAAGUGUUGUGGAAAAACUACACAAUGUAAAAUCCACCAGGGGUGUUAAAUGGGAAGAAACAGACGACUUCUGCAGUCAUCUUGGGAGAAAUAUACCACUUUCAGCUCGUGUUUCCCUUGGCUCAGGCUCACUGCUUUGCUACUCGGAAACUGCAUGCAAGGAUGGGUCAUAGCACAAUGAUAGACCCCUUUAUAUCAAGUGUGUAAACACUCAUGGAUUUAUAGUGUUAGUGACAGAUUAAUUACAGUUAUUUGUGUGUUAUAGUGUGCGGAGGCUGCUCAGACCUAUGAUGACGUUCCAUCAUCAUCCUCUAAGUAUGUGAUGUCACAAUACGCAAUAAAAGAAAAGAACAAAGUACAGUUUGACAGAGAAAGUGCCGAUGUCAGAAAAAUGGUAGGUAGGAGACCUUGCAAUCUAGAGGUACAGACCUUCACAAGCAGUCCAGGAAAUAUUCCUCUAGUCUCUCCACACUGGUCAGUCCAUACUGUGCAGCCUGACAUAGAAGGUUGUAGUGUGCUUGAUGGUCCUAUUCUGUAUGGGCGUAUAGAGAUUAAUACCCCCUUUCACACAUAAACCCCCAGUUUAGACGCUGGAAACUGAGCAAGGGUUAAAGAUGGGGUUUGAGUACUUACCCCUUUCACACAUGGGUGAUGGACUCUGGUUAUUUGCAGGUUGUCACUGUUCACACUGGACCCGGGUCUUCCAGUGAUCCGGUUCUA